rnacentral:rRNA from 1 species
UACGGGGGGAGCAAGCGUUGUUCUGAUUUACUGGGCGUAAAGGGCGCGUAGGCGGCGCAACAAGUCACUUGUGAAAUCUCCGGGCUUAACUCGGAACGGUCAAGUGAUACUGUUGUGCUAGAGUGCGGAAGGGGCAACUGGAAUUCUCGGUGUAGCGGUGAAAUGCGUAGAUAUCGAGAGGAACACCUGCGGCGAAGGCGGGUUGCUGGGCCGACACUGACGCUGAUGCGCGAAAGCCAGGGGAGCGAACGGG